rnacentral:ncRNA from 1 species
AAGAUAGAGGCGCGGAAUUCAUCAUUACCUGUCCGGAGUCAGCGGAUGACAGAGAUGUACAGGGAAAGGGAAGUCCGCCGAAGCGUAAAGGAAGCCGCGGCCCUUACGCUGGGCGCCGGGAUAAGAUGCCGGCGACUGUCACAGUUUAUGUGGAGAGCUGUCGU